rnacentral:rRNA from 1 species
UACGUAGGGGGCAAGCGUUGUCCGGAUUUAUUGGGCGUAAAGAGCGUGUAGGCGGUUUGGUAGGUCCGCUGUGAAAACUCGAGCUCAACCUCGAGACGCCGGUGGAAACCAUCAGACUAGAGUCCGGAAGAGGAGAGUGGAAUUCCUGGUGUAGCGGUGAAAUGCGCAGAUAUCAGGAAGAACACCCGUGGCUAAGGCGGCUCUCUAGUACGGUACUGACGCUGAGACGCGAAAGCGUGGGGGGCGAACAGG